UCCGGUUGUAGUCGGGGUUGCCGUUUGGACUUUGCAUUAUGGAGAAGCGGUGUUUUUCUCUUCUGCUGCUCUGUGUGCUGUCUGUGUUUCAUGUCACAGCAGACAACGUCAACGUUAAAAAGAUGAAAAUGCAGUUUACUGGAAUGCCACUUCUAAAGUUUCAGAUUUGUGUAUCCUGAGGAUACAGGCGGGUGUUUGAAGAGUACACUCAGGUUCUCAACCAGAGGUACCCAGACAUCCGCAUCGAGGGAGAAAACUUCCUGCCUCAGCCAAUAUACAGGCACUUAGCAUCCUUCCUGUCUGUCUUCAAGCUUGCAGUAAUUGGUUUAAUUAUCCUGGGUAAAGAUCCUUUUGCAUUCUUCCAUAUGGAGCCUCCAGGAAUCUGGCUUUGGGCAAAAGAAAAUAAGAUAUACGCCUGCAUGAUGGUGUUCUUCCUCAGCAACAUGAUUGAAAACCAGUGUAUGUCUACUGGCGCCUUUGAGAUCACACUUAAUGAUGUGCCUGUAUGGUCAAAGCUUCAGUCAGGCCACCUUCCCUCCAUGCAGCAGCUGGUGCAGAUUUUGGAGAAUGAGAUGAAGUUGAGCGCGCACUUGGACUCUCUUCCCAACAGACGAGCUUAAUCCUGCAGUAACUGAGCAGACGGCUGAGGCUUGUGGGUAGCACAAUUCAUGUGUGUAAGAUCUUGUUGUGUGAGGUGGCAUUAAUGAAGGUUUGUACUGAAGGCAGUAUGUGUGCUGGUGCAGACUGGAUGUCCAGGCCUAUCUCACCAUUCAUUGGGUUUUAACACAGCAGCUCAGCUGUCCUUGGUUUGAAGUAUGGCGGAAAAUUUUAGCUGCAGUGAUUCUGUAGAGACUGAUUAAUAAUUAAGUGCUGUUAAGUGGGGCAAAUCAGGUUUAAAUGCAUUGUUUUACCUGUUUUGCGCAGUAGUUUGUAUUCAUUACUAAAAUUUGUUUUCGGUAUAUUCCAAAUCUGAAAAUUAAACCUGUUAAUAAUGCUUUAAGAACUAGAUUUCUGUUUAACCUUUAUGUCCAUGUCUGUCUCUUUCUUUUCUUUUUUAUCAUGUUUAAUUGUCUUUCAUCGUAUUGGUGUGCCAAACUGUUCAUUCCACCCAGUGUUUACCAUGAGGUAUUUUGCAAUAUAAAUGUGUAAGAUCUAUACAUUUCAAAGUAAAGGUAUUCAUUUUUCAAAUAAAUAAAUAAAUAAAUCAUACACGGCAAAAAUAGACUUUAUAUAUUUUGGAUCAUUUUUAUAUUUGUUUAUACUUGAGUUUAAAAUAAAAUGUAUAAUUUGAUGUGUAAA